CGGGGUAUAGUUUAGUGGUAGAAUGCGCGGCUGGGGGCCGUGCGGUCCAGGUUCGAUUCCUGGUACCCCGACCA
rnacentral:tRNA from 6 species